rnacentral:tRNA from 1 species
GAGGGUGUAGCUCAAUGGUAGAGUACAUGCUUAGCAUGCAUGAGGUCCUGCGUUGAAUCUCCAGUACCUCCA